AUUCUGCGAAGCACAGCAAUGACAAGUGGCAAGCGUCGACGCCACUUAGCCCAAGCAGAACGAUGGUGAAGACGGAGUAAAAUAGAAGCAAUUUCAGAGUUCCGACGACACAAAGCCUCCUGGAGAGGAUUCCACCCGGCGGAGUUUUGAAGAGAUACAUCAGCACCAGAAGCAGCGAGAGUACGAGCAGCAAAGGAAUCAUUUAACCUUACAGAAAGAUGAAGAGGUGUCUCA
rnacentral:misc_RNA from 1 species